GGGGAAUUUUGGACAAUGGGCGGAAGCCUGAUCCAGCCAUGCCGCGUGAGUGAAGAAGGCCUUCGGGUUGUAAAGCUCUUUCGGUGGGGAAGAAAUUGCACGGGCUAAUACCCUGUGUAGAUGACGGUACCCGACUAAGAAGCACCGGCUAACUACGUGCCAGCAGCCGCGGUAAUACGUAGGGUGCGAGCGUUAAUCGGAAUUACUGGGCGUAAAGCGUGCGCAGGCGGUUUGGUCAGUCAGAUGGGAAAGCCCCGGGCUCAACCUGGGAACUGCAUUUGAGACUGCCAGGCUGGAGUGUGGCAGAGGGGGGUGGAAUUCCACGUGUAGCAGUGAAAUGCGUAGAGAUGUGGAGGAACACCGAUGGCGAAGGCAGCCCCCUGGGUCACUACUGACGCUCAUGCACGAAAGCGUGGGGAGCAAAC
rnacentral:rRNA from 1 species